UACGGAGGGUGCGAGCGUUGUUCGGAAUCACUGGGCGUAAAGCGCGUGUAGGCGGCCUUGUAAGUCUGAUGUGAAAGCCCGGGGCUUACCCCCGGAAGUGCAUUGGAUACUGCAAGGCUUGAGUACCGGAGAGGAAAGUGGAAUUCCUGGUGUAGCGGUGAAAUGCGUAGAUAUCAGGAGGAACACCGGUGGCGAAGGCGGCUUUCUGGACGGAUACUGACGCUGAGACGCGAAAGCGUGGGGAGCAAACAGG
rnacentral:rRNA from 1 species